rnacentral:rRNA from 1 species
CGUUAGCGGCGGACGGGUGAGUAACACGUGGGUAACCUACCUAUAAGACUGAGAUAACUCCGGGAAACCGGGGCUAAUACCGGAUAAUACAUGAAACCGCAUGGUUUCAUGAUGAAAGACGGUUUUGCUGUCACUUAUAGAUGGACCCGCGGCGUAUUAGCUAGUUGGUAAGGUAACGGCUUACCAAGGCAACGAUACGUAGCCGACCUGAGAGGGUGAUCGGCCACACUGGAACUGAGACACGGUCCAGACUCCUACGGGAGGCAGCAGA